AUCUCUGUGUUAUUCAGGGGAGUAAAAUGGGCGCAGGAUAAACGUUUGGGAUUCGUUAAAUUCAUUAGCAAAUAGUUCGGUCUUGGUUAAUACACUCAAAAUAAGCAAAGGAAUCUGAGUGCCAUCCGCACGCUGUUCAAAAUACAUUUAAAGAUAAACGUACCUGAGUGAAACAAAAUGUCGAUACGUUCAUUUGAGGCAUGGGACUAUGUAAUAUUUGCGAUGUGUCUUUGCAUUUCGCUCGGGAUCGGAGUUUACCACGCUUUUUUUGGAGGCGGACAGGAUACAACAGAAAAGUACUACUAUGGCAACCGGAACAUGGGUGCACUUCCGGUGGCGCUAUCGAUGCUUGUGACGUACCAGUCGUCUAUUUUUAUGCUGGGAUAUCCCGGUGAAAUGUACAUAUACGGAUCUAUGUUCUGGUUAAGUUUUGUAGGCGUCGGGUUAGGUUUUGUUUUGGUGGCAGUGUUUGAGGCCCCCCUCCUCCACCCUCUCAAAAUACGGAGCGCAUUUGAGUACCUAGAGGCACGAUACAAAAGCACUGGCCCCAGAAAACUAGCCUCCUUUAUGAGUGUCAUCAUCUAUGCAAUAUUUAUGGGGCUGGUAGUUUAUGGGCCAGCAAUUACAUUAAAAACUGUAACACAGUUCCCUCUUUGGGCCUCAAUGAUUAUCGUAGCUGCUGGCGGGAUAUUCUACACAUCAAUAGGUGGUUUCAAAGCCGUGAUUUGGGCGGAUGUGUUUCAGUCCAUCAUCAUCGUUAUUGGGAUAUUCGCUAUCCUCAUUCAAGGACUAAUUAAGGUUGGCGGAUCAAACGAAGUUUGGCGGAUAAAUGAAGAGUACGGGCGGAUCCAGUUCGAUGAGUUCAGCCCUGAUAUCACGGUCAGACACACGGUUUGGGGUAUGGUAAUAGCCAACAUGAUUCAGUUUUUCUCCCUGGGCUACAGCCAAAUGGUCGUACAGCGAAUCAUGUCCACACCGACCACGGGGAAGGCAAUGCAGGCCUCGUUCCUGGCUAUUCCCGGCUUUGCCCUAUUUGGUUCCAUUUCCUGUUUCCUCGGUCUGAUGGCUUUCGCAUACAACGUCCAGCAGGGAUGUGAUCCUUUGAACAAAAAGAUUAUUGUUCGACCUGAACAGGUACUGCCUUACUUUGUUAUGGACAUUUUUGAUAGCACACCUGGUAUGCCUGGUGUUUUCCUAGCUGCCUUAUUCAGCGCCUCUUUGAGCACCCUGUCGUCUGGACUAAACAGCCUCCCCACCAUAACAUGGGAGGACUUCAUUAAGCCGCACUGUGGGGCCAGGUUCUCUGAGGUCCAGGCCACAAUGUUCGGCAAAAUUCUCGUUGUUGUAUUUGGAUCCCUAGCUAUAGGAUUCGCCUACCUGGCUUACCUGCUUGGAGGCCCAAUUGUACAGAUGACAAGCACGGCGACAUCAUGUGUUAAUGGGCCAAUUCUAGGGAUGUUUCUAAUGGGCGCCAUAUUUAAAUCAGCAAAUGCAAAGGGUGCUAUAGCUGGAUGUCUCUCUGGCUUUGCCUUCUUACUUUGGAUCGCCUUAGGUCAAGUUGUACAGAAGUUUGCCACACCUAGGUUACCCGGGGGACCGACAGCUAACUGUACGGCCACAUCUAUGUUUAAUCAGUUCAAUAAUUAUACGUCACCAGUUCAGUCGAAUUUUUCCACAACAGAAUCAUUUGAAAGUGUUGCAGACCAUACUGGACAGUGAGGAUUUAGACAAUUAUAUAGAAUAUAUAUUUAUUUAAAAGAUUCAAAUGUUAAAUAUUAUGCACUUUAUUUACUGUGCUUAAAUUAUUUGUAUUUCGUUUCAUUGUUAGUUUCCAUAAGAUUCUGGGUGUAUACAAGGUUAGCUACAUCUGGUACACCACAAUAGGAAUGUUGGUCUGUAUGCUGGUUGGGAUGAUAGUUAGUGUCCUAACAGGUACGUAGAUCUUUUUUAUUAGAAUAUUGCAACUGCUCUACUUUCCCUAAAAAAAAAAACAAAACAAAACAAAAAACC
rnacentral:misc_RNA from 1 species